rnacentral:rRNA from 1 species
UACGUAGGGUGCGAGCGUUGUCCGGAAUUAUUGGGCGUAAAGAGCUCGUAGGCGGCCUGUCGCGUCGGAUGUGAAAGCCCCGGGGCUUAACCCCGGGGUCUGCAUUCGAUACGGGCAGGCUAGAGUGUGGUAGGGGAGAUCGGAAUUCCUGGUGUAGCGGUGAAAUGCGCAGAUAUCAGGAGGAACACCGGUGGCGAAGGCGGAUCUCUGGGCCAUUACUGACGCUGAGGAGCGAAAGCGUGGGGAGCGAACAGG